UGUAUUUUUAACCCUGGGUAGGGGAGCAUAGUUCCUUCAUCUUACGACGGAGGAAACUCUGAGACCCAAGGGUUUAGUUCAACUUUCCAACGUGAGGCACCUGGAACCUGGAGGAAAACCGCAGUGUGACGACAUUAAGUGCUGGUGUGACCGGGGCAGCGGGGACCCUCGUGCCCGCCCCGGGAGCAAAAAUCAGUUGUCUGCCCAGUCACGGAGCUGAAGACGCACAUCGAGACCCAGAAACUUCACCGCUACCUCUCCGCCCAGAGAAGCUUCGCUUGUGAGACUGGGGAUACGCAAAAGCAUCCUCAAGGCAUUGUUUCUAAUAGCAAGAAACUGGAAAACAAUCUCCCAGAUGUCUAUUAGGAGCUUGUGGUCCUGCAGAAUCCCUUUGAACGCACUCGUUGCAAGUUCUGGUGAAAUGCAAUCCCCGGAACAUCAGGAAAAUGUUGUGUGCUGCACAGAAUCGCAGAUUUAACAGUUUUCCUCCUUGUUCCACACUCACGACACGUUGUGUAGAGACGGGCCGUGAACACCGGCCUGGCCUAUUUCUCCCUUCAGCUCUUCCAUCAGGCUGGCAUUUGGGAAAACAUCAGGGUUCGAGGGGACCCUCCGAGAACUCAUGCCAUCCUGAAGAUGCAGCCGCAGCUGGCAUUCAUGCGAUGUGUUUGCGAAACAAAAUGUGAUGGGAGGGACGUGUGGGAGAGAGAGAGAAAAGGCAGAAAGACUCGGCAAGUUGGGCAAACCCUUGCCCUGAGAAAGGACCGUGGCAAUCAAACGUGCUUUUCCAUUGGCCUAGCAAACUCAGUCACGUCUGCAAAAUUUGAGUUUCUCUUCCAAAGGAGUGUCCACAGUAAGAAAUGCAAAGUGUACGAAAUUCAUGCAUUGUCGGCCAUUGUGUUUUCCUACACUUUUGUGUUUGAUGCCAACGUGAAGGUCCCCAAGAGCGGCCCCAGCCACAGGAGAGGAGCCUGGAGGCCGCGGCAAUGCGCUGGCCGGGAUGAGUGGCCAAGGCUGGCGGGGGUCCACCUCCCAGAACACCCGCCCCUUAGGUUUUCAAAGAAGCCUGGGACCUCCCCGUGGGACCCCCACGAGGCCAGCUCCCAGUUUCCAGGAGCCAGACUCUGUGUUUUCCAGUCCAGUUUCCUGAAAACACCCAGCAGCGUUCCGGGCCCAGACAUUUGUGUGAAACCCCGGACGUCUAACAGACGUGGUUUCCUGGGAAUAGAGAUGUGGCCCCUGAGGCAGGAGACAGGGCGGGGAGGGGAGCGCAGGGGGAGGAAGUUACGGAGAGAAAGUUUUUAUCCUGAGAAAUAAAAUGUUGUCUUUGUCUUUCUCUGAAAAGGCCGCAGGACAUUGGAAAAAGCCCAGGUUGAAGCGUUGGACCCACGUUCAAAUCUGACCCAUCGGGUCCGAGUCCCCUGAGCCGGAGCCUCUCGACCUUGAGCGUCAGGCGCUGGUGGGGCCCCUGACGCUUUGCUGAGCACAGUCGCCGCUGAGAGCCCUCGGCCGCUUCCAUCCUGGGAAGGACAAGGCCCUUCCCCUCCUCUCCAUUCUCUGCGAUUACGUUUUCCAGAAGGUUUGUCGCUCGGUUUUUUUUCAUCACCUGCUCUGUGUAUUUGGUCUGAAUUUUGGGUUUAAGCUUUUACUGUCUCGCCAGUAUUUUCUCUCCAAAACCAACACAUCAUUAAGGAAAAAAAGCUCAGUGGUUUUUAGUGCUGUUAUUAAUAAAAAAUAAAAUAGCCACGUGGGGCCGGAGAGGGAUUAGCGUGGCCCCGACUCUGUUCCCCCUUGAUUACCCAUCAUGUGUCCAUGCCAGAGAUAAAGGGGGUCCAGGGACCUCCCCCCUUUCCCUCGAAAAGUUUAUUAAAAUGAUAAAUGAGGUUUUGGUGGCAGUUAAGCGACUAUAAAGUGUCCUCUGUGGACAAACCCCACCCCUGCUAGUUAGGGACGCGCCGACCGGGAGAGCUGGCUGGUGCCCGAACAUCAGGCCGGUCGUCAAGGUUACCGAGACUCCAGGAUUCCCGGACACGGAAUAUUCCAGGACGACAGGGCACAGAUCAUAAACAUCCGACGUCCCGAAGCCUCCUCCUGCACGGAUCAUUUUCUUGGAAUUCAUCUCGAGAGAAACAGUGCAUGUAUAAUUCUCCUAACGGAGCUGCGCACCGACAAGGAGCAACGAGGCGGCCGGGUAAUGGCCCCGUGUCCCAUCUGUCCCGGGGCGCGGGCGGCACCCUCGCUGUCCACGGGACCCCUCCGACCAGGAGGCAGCUCUCUGCCCCCGCCGCCUGCCUUGUGUCCAAAAGCAGGGAGACUGUAGAGGAUUCAGGGUCAUGGGUACGGCCUCACGGUGCACCGUCCAUUCUGAAGGCUCUCUGGGCCCUUAAGUGUUGCCGUGUUUCAAAUGGAUCUUAACAAACACCCU